GGGCCGAUACCAAAGUGGUCAACUGGAGCGGAUUGUAAAUCCGCUGGCGCUCGCCUUCGUUGGUUCAAAUCCGACUCGGCCCA
rnacentral:tRNA from 1 species